GCUAUGGAGCAUUUUCAAAAAUCACUGGAAUCAUUUGUUCUUUAAAGUCUAGGAAUCUCACCUCCUCACCUUGGCUGUGAGGUCUUCUGAGGCAAGAAUGAUGCCUGUUCUUUCUUGGGCAUGUCCUCCCAGCCUGGCCAGCCAGAAGCCUGGACACCUAAGAGCUGCUGGCCUUUCCUUGAACUCUGAGGGCUUCUGUGGAACAGAGAGGAGUUUGACCGGGAGAAUGGGGAGUUUGACCACUUGCUGUGACGUGUGCUGACCACCAGGGGCGGCACGGAACAUGGCGAGUGUCAGCGACAGUGGAGGUGCUGUGGGCCCCGAUAGGCCCUGAUGAGAACGAGACCACAGCGGGAUGGUGGAGCAGAGGAGGCCACCUAAUGCCAUUGACCAUAUGUGAGAGGAUAAGGACUGGAUUCCAGAAACAGAGGAGACAGAAGAAAGUGUGAGCGAAUCACACCUGCAUCAGUGCAGUCUUCCCAGAUUUCAUGUUUUCCCUUCAGGAUUCCCCAGAUGUCUACAGGCACUCCGAUGCUAA